UCGUUGCUGGCAGGAAGGCAAAAUGGCGCAGUCUGGCUGGCAUUCCCCUCAGGAAUUCCACACAAAGUAAGCAUCCUGUGACCGGAUGAUCCAGCAGCCAUGCCCCUUGGCACUUAUUUAAACGAACCAAAAUCUCAAAGCACACGAAACCUCAACCAACAUGUUUGGAAUAACUUUAUCCAAACUGCCAACACUCAGUAAAUAGUCAGGUCACCUUUAGCUGACGAAUGGACGACCCAUCUCUCCAGACAAUGGAAUAUCAUCCGGUGCUAAGAAGAAAUGACAUUCAAGUCACGGUGACCGGGGAACACUUGUGUACAUAUUAUUAAGUGAAGAUGAUCGCAGAGCAUCACUUCCGACUGUGUGAGCCUCUGGCUAACACAAUGCUUUGAAGAUGGCAACAAGAUGAGUGUUUGCUGGGGAGCCAUGGAACCCUUCUAUGUGGGUCAGGUCAUCCAAAGCCAUGCAGUAGAUGAGUUCAGGUGACAACAUUUUAUCCUUGUGUGUUCAUUGGCUGGAACGGCAGGGCGGGAAAGUAUAGAGCUCAGGAAAGUCAGGAGUAUGGGAAACUCACUGAAUAGAGAGUCCAGUUUGUGCUUCCCAUGUCAUCAGUCUGGGGCCAUGCACUAGAACAUGGUAGGCCUGCCGGACCACACCCUUAGAGGAAGACUAACCAUCCUUACCAACAGUCCAUAGCACCUCAGACGUCAGCACCCAGCGUCUGCUCCCGCUACUGUGUCCGGCACGGUGGAUUCUCAUCCCUUUGGAACCAAAAGCCUAGUACACCCU